UGAGGAAUAUUGGUCAAUGGGCGAGAGCCUGAACCAGCCAAGUAGCGUGCAGGAUGACGGCCCUAUGGGUUGUAAACUGCUUUUAUAUGGGAAUAAAGUGAGGGACGUGUCCCUUAUUGCAUGUACCAUACGAAUAAGGACCGGCUAAUUCCGUGCCAGCAGCCGCGGUAAUACGGAAGGUCCAGGCGUUAUCCGGAUUUAUUGGGUUUAAAGGGAGCGUAGGCUGUUUGUUAAGCGUGUUGUGAAAUGUAAGAGCUCAACUUUUAGAUUGCAGCGCGAACUGGCAGACUUGAGUGCGCACAACGUAGGCGGAAUUCAUGGUGUAGCGGUGAAAUGCUUAGAUAUCAUGAAGAACUCCGAUUGCGAAGGCAGCUUACGGGAGCGCAACUGACGCUAAAGCUCGAAGGUGCGGGUAUCGAACAGG
rnacentral:rRNA from 1 species